GCCCCGGUAAACGGCGGCCGUAACUAUAACGGUCCUAAGGUAGCGAAAUUCCUUGUCGGGUAAGUUCCGACCUGCACGAAUGGCGUAAUGAUGGCCAGGCUGUCUCCACCCGAGACUCAGUGAAAUUGAACUCGCUGUGAAGAUGCAGUGUACCCGCGGCAAGACGGAAAGACCCCGUGAACCUUUACUAUAGCUUGACACUGAACAUUGAGCCUUGAUGUGUAGGAUAGGUGGGAGGCUUUGAAGUGUGGACGCCAGUCUGCAUGGAGCCGACCUUGAAAUACCACCCUUUAAUGUUUGAUGUUCUAACGUUGGCCCGUAAUCCGGGUUGCGGACAGUGUCUGGUGGGUAGUUUGACUGGGGCGGUCUCCUCCUAAAGAGUAACGGAGGAGCACGAAGGUUGGCUAAUCCUGGUCGGACAUCAGGAGGUUAGUGCAAUGGCAUAAGCCAGCUUGACUGCGAGCGUGACGGCGCGAGCAGGUGCGAAAGCAGGUCAUAGUGAUCCGGUGGUUCUGAAUGGAAGGGCCAUCG
rnacentral:rRNA from 1 species